CGGGGUAUGGCCCAGUCUGGUUAAGGUGCCUGCUUUGGGAGCAGGAGAUCGCAAGUUCGAAUCUUGCUACCCCGA
rnacentral:tRNA from 1 species